UACGGGGGGGGCAAGCGUUGUUCGGAAUUACUGGGCGUAAAGGGCUCGUAGGUGGCCAACUAAGUCAGACGUGAAAUCCCUCGGCUUAACCGGGGAACUGCGUCCGAUACUGGAUGGCUUGAGUUUGGGAGAGGGACGCGGAAUUCCAGGUGUAGCGGUGAAAUGCGUAGAUAUCUGGAGGAACACCGGUGGCGAAGGCGGCAUCCUGGACCGGCAUUGACGCUGAGGCGCGAAAGCCAGGGGAGCAAACGGG
rnacentral:rRNA from 1 species